rnacentral:rRNA from 1 species
AUUGAACGCUGGCGGCAGGCCUAACACAUGCAAGUCGAACGGUAACACGAAGCAGCUUGCUGCUUCGCUGACGAGUGGCGGACGGGUGAGUCAUGUCUGGGAAGCUGCCUGAUGGAGGGGGAUAACUACUGGAAACGGUAGCUAAUACCGCAUAUAUUCGCAAGCGCAAAGAGGGGUAGCGUCGGGCGUCUUGCCAUCGGAUGUGCGCAGAUGGGAUUAGCUUGUUGGUGGGGUAACGGCUCACCAAGGCGACGAUCCGUAGCUGGUCUGAGAGGAUGACCAGCCACACUGGAACUGAGACACGGUCCAGACUCCUACGGGAGGCAGCAGUGGGGAAUAUUGCACAAUGGGCGAAAGCCUGAUGCAGCAACGCCGCGUGUAUGAAGAAGGUCUUCGGGUUGUAAAGUACUUUCAGCGGGGAGGAAGGGAGUAAUGUUAAUAUCUUCACUUAUUGACGGUACCCGCAGAAGAAGCACCGGCUAACUACGUG